GCGGCGGACGGGUGAGUACACGUGGGCACCUGCCUUAUAGUGGGGAAUAGCCUCUCGAAAGGGAGAUUAAUACCGCAUAAG
rnacentral:rRNA from 1 species